GCUCCAUUUCAACAAUGACAUUUCUGUAUUUAUUUCCCUAAUUUAGGAGCAACACAAAUCAUGAACAUGAUCAACCUGCUCAUCUUCGCUUGCGAGACCCCAAGAUUCCUGAGCUAGUGAACUUGCCAGACUAUGCUGGACCCGAGUCACGAUAUUGCCCGGCCCGUGUCUAUGAAUACAUACCAGAUGAAGGAGGUCAGCUAAAGUUGCAGAUCAAUGCUCAAAACUGUUUGCAUUGCAAGGCAUGUGAUAUCAAAGAUCCGAAGCAAAACAUUGAAUGGACAGUGCCUGAGGGAGGUGGUGGCCCUGGAUAUUCACUCAUGUAGGAAAACCUUACCUACCUUCUCUCUCUCUGUCACAACAGGAUGUUUUGUGGGUUGUAGUUAUAAUAACAGUAAUCCAUGGAUUUGUAGAUUCUUUUAUUUAUUUUAACACUUUCUGGUUAAUUGAGAAGUCAUGUGGAUUGAUUUGAAAA